UACUUAUCAAGAGUGGCGGAGGGAACCGGCCCUACGAAGCCCGGCAACCGCGGAAAGCAGCGGUGCCAAUUCCGGCAGGGAAACCUGAAAGAUGAGAG
rfam:Ruminococcaceae bacterium strain KHP2 genome assembly, contig: Ga0059115_101